rnacentral:rRNA from 2 species
CCUGGCGGCACUAGCGCGGUGGUCCCACCUGACCCCAUGCCGAACUCAGAAGUGAAACGCCGUAGCGCCGAUGGUAGUGUGGGGGCUCCCCAUGUGAGAGUAGGGAACUGCCAGGC